rnacentral:rRNA from 1 species
UACAGAGGGUGCAAGCGUUGUUCGGAAUUAUUGGGCGUAAAGGGAGUGUAGGCGGCUUGUUAAGUCUUCUGUGAAAUCUACGGGCUCAGCCUGUAACGUGCAGAGGAAACUGGCGAGCUUGAGUGUCGGAGGGGAUAGGGGAAUACCCGGUGUAGAGGUGAAAUGCGUAGAUAUCUGGAGGAAUACCGGUGGCGAAGGCGGCAUCCUGGACCGGCAUUGACGCUGAGGAGCGAAAGCUAGGGGAGCAAACGGG